rnacentral:rRNA from 1 species
AGAGUUUGAUCCUGGCUCAGGACGAACGCUGGCGGCGUGCCUAAUACAUGCAAGUCGAGCGGAUCAAUGGGGAGCUUGCUCCCCUGAGAUCAGCGGCGGACGGGUGAGUAACACGUGGGCAACCUGCCUGUAAGACUGGGAUAACUCCGGGAAACCGGGGCUAAUACCGGAUAACAUUUUCCACUGCAUAGUGGAAAAUUGAAAGAUGGCUUCGGCUAUCACUUACAGAUGGGCCCGCGGCGCAUUAGCUAGUUGGUGAGGUAAGGGCUCACCAAGGCGACGAUGCGUAGCCGACCUGAGAGGGUGAUCGGCCACACUGGGACUGAGACACGGCCCAGACUCCUACGGGAGGCAGCAGUAGGGAAUCUUCGGCAAUGGGCGAAAGCCUGACCGAGCAACGCCGCGUGAGCGAUGAAGGCCUUCGGGUCGUAAAGCUCUGUUGUUAGGGAAGAACAAGUACCGUUCAAAUAGGGCGGUACCUUGACGGUACCUAACCAGAAAGCCACGGCUAACUACGUGCCAGCAGCCGCGGUAAUACGUAGGUGGCAAGCGUUGUCCGGAAUUAUUGGGCGUAAAGCGCGCGCAGGCGGUCUCUUAAGUCUGAUGUGAAAGCCCACGGCUCAACCGUGGAGGGUCAUUGGAAACUGGGGGACUUGAGUACUGGAGAGGAGAGUGGAAUUCCAUGUGUAGCGGUGAAAUGCGUAGAUAUAUGGAGGAACACCAGUGGCGAAGGCGGCUCUCUGGCCAGUAACUGACGCUGAGGCGCGAAGCGUGGGGAGCAAACA